GAAGCCCCGGCUAACUACGUGCCAGCAGCCGCGGUAAUACGUAGGUAGCAAGCGUUGUCCGGAUUUACUGGGUGUAAAGGGUGUGCAGCCGGCCUUGCAAGUCAGAUGUGAAAACCAGGGGCUUAACUUAUGGAUUGCAUUUGAAACUGUUGGUCUUGAGUAUAGGAGAGGCAGCCGGAAUUCCUAGUGUAGCGGUGAAAUGCGUAGAUAUUGGGAGGAACACCAGUGGCGAAGGCGGCUUACUGGACGUCAACUGACGGUGAGGCGCGAAAGCAUGGGUAGCAAACAGGAUUAGAUACCCUGGUAGUCCAUGCCGUAAACGAUCAAUACUAGGUGUGGGGGGACUGACCCCUUCCGUGCCGGAGUAACACAAUA
rnacentral:rRNA from 1 species